UGAGAGGCUAGGCGUGAGGCAUGCUUGCAAGGUAAGUGCCAUAAGAAGGUGAGGCGAAUAUUCACACAAUUUGUAAUAUACCGAAACGUCGGCAAGCUAUAUCGAACUUUAGUCAAAUUGACUAAAGUGUGUCGAGAGAAAUAGUUGGACAAAGUCCAGUUGACAUUCCAACAAUGUUGGAAGGGUUAAAAUUGAGUCGUGAAUGCGUUAGAAGGGUUUUAGCAUUGCUCGACGUGAAAUGGAGCCGAGGCACUGUCAAAUUGCAGUCUGGGCAAUGCUUAACCGGUGAAGUAGUGCUGCAGAACCGGUACCGGGCAGGCCGCCCGAGAAACCAACUCUCGG
rnacentral:lncRNA from 1 species